CAAACAUCGUGCACCCAGGACAGAACCUAGCGGGCGGUUGAACAAGAAGGGGACGAGCAGGGCGAGGGCCACCUGGGCUGGGCUGAGGGGCUUCUCUGCAGAGAAUCGGGGUGCGGGGUCGCCAUACACGUGGGAACGACGGCCGACGCUCGUUUGAAAGAACACCCGGGCCGAGAUGGCCCACCAGUGAAAAGAAAUAUUGACCCUUGUUUUGUUUUGCUUUCCCUCAGUGGGUGUUGGCGACCGCGGUUCACCAGGGGGCGGUGACAGCGCGCUGUGCGGCCCCGCGCUCCCCAAACGGGCCGUCCACGGCCUUCGGUGCUUUCGGAUCCCGUCUUCGUGGCGUCUUCAUCCACUUACAGGCGACGGUGACCCGUGAUGGCCAGGCCGAGCUCUCAUAGACUCUCACGAUCCUCUACUUUGGCCGUUAGUGAAUUCUCAAGCUAAAGCAAAAAAUUAGGAACUGCCUCUGGUCGUCCGCUCAGGUUCCUGUACCCCCCGGAAAGCUCUUGGAUCCGUACGGGUCGUCGCAAGCGGCAAGAUUUCUUCCCUCUAUGGCCGGGCAGUAGUCCAUCGACCUUUGCUGCCUGGUUUGAAGAUUGAAACUCCAUCCUGUAGAUUCAGAUUCAGGCUGAACUUUGGCAGAAAAUUCUCAGAACAAGCAUGUGUUCUAGGGUGGCGUUUCAGUCCUGGAGAAGCAGCUGCUAAGAUGAGAUUGGAUUUGCAGGAGAUUCACUGGGGAAAAUCCCUAAGAAGGAUAAAGGGGAGAGAGUGUGGAGGCUGGAGAGCUCCCCUGGGACCGGGACGCUUGUCCGACACCUGGGAGAAGAGGAGGAGAGAGGAGAGCUUCAGAGUUUGCUGCAGCUCCGAGAAGGUCUGGGCCAGGCAACAGGGAAGCCCGGAGCCAUGAUGGCCCAGUAGAGCAUCCUGUGAUGGGGACAGGCUCCCGGGCUUUGUGUGAGAGCUGCCUCGCUUCACCUGAACCGCUGUGCAUCCUCCCGGUACAAGCUGGCAGCCGGCCGUGUUGCCUGUAGCAGCAGCUCCUGGACGGAAGGAUUGAACAGUGCAUUCCCAUAAUUGUCAGCCAUACAGGGAGUAUUUCCCCCCAAAUGCACAGCAAAAAACAAACAAAAAAACCCACCUAAAAUUUGUUGAGGGCUUCUCACAGAUUUCAGGUUAUAGCUAAAACCAAACCUUCAGUAGUUGAAGGUUUUUGCAAAGAUUUCACUUAAUAGCCAGGAGGUAGAAAAAGCCUCUCCUGCGGGACGGUUGAAAGCAGCGCAGCGGCCUGGGAAUUCGAGGCUGCCCGGCAGGAGCUAGGCCGAUGUCCGGUCCUACAGAGGAGACUGCGAAGUGUGUCACUCUGCGGAUGCUCUGUCGCUGAGAGCAUUAAGUCUGAUAAUUAAUUCUCCGCUUUUAAGAGAUGAGAUGACAAGUGCAGCGAGGCCUUGAGCGUGGUGGGAUCACGCUUGAGGAUUAGCAGGGUGAGGUGGAUGCAGAUUUGGGGGGGAUCCUGUUUUGUUCCCUGCGCCCCAGGGAGACAGAGGUGGAGAAGCGUGUUCAUAGGGGAUUUAGAGACCUGGGCUUCGCUUCCGGCAUUUUCGCAGAUUCAGGUUGCUUGGCGCAUCUGGACGUCAGAGUCUCGGGUGGAAACGUGGCAGCUGUCCCGCGGUUCUAACCUGCCAGGGGCAGGUGGGCAAAUUUAAAUUUUAGGUCGACCGUGAAUACCAGGCGUGGGUCCACGUUUUCUGGGGGCCCGACGCUUACAUAACCUGUAGGAGCCCCUUUUAUUUUUUUAUUUUAUUUUAUUUUUUUAAAGAUUUUAUUUAUUUAUUCAUGAGACACACACACACACAGAGAGAGAGAGAGAGAGAGAG